GCAGCUUUGCAGGCGCUGGGGCUCCCAAAGGACGGAGCUUUGAAUCCACCUGGGAGGCUUAAGAGAAAGUGCUGAGUCCCCCAUGCCCUACCCCUGAGACUGCUGACAGGCAUCGCUGAGGGCUGCAGCUUUGGAAUCGGGCAUCUUCUGAGGAAGAGAAAGGCACCACAGCCACGGCACAGAAGACUAGGGGAGCCAGCUUCAGCUUUUGCCAAGUGUUUGGUUCAUCUGACGCUUGGUGAAGUCACAUGCAUCUGCUGCCCUGACAUCCAGGAGAAGGAACCAUCUGGCUCAAGAAUCCAUUACAGAAGAGGCCGUCAGCACCCGUCACUUGUGCCUCCCCAUGUCCAGCUGAGUUUCUUUCUCUCUGCUCAACUCCAAAGUGUUGAUGAGUCAAUCGAUGCGGCCCUUGCCACUGCGUCUCACUGGGAAUUCCGUUCUAGGUGCAAUGUUUUAAGGGGAAGACUUACACUAUGAAGCUAGCCCAGAAGAGGGUGACUAGAGUACUGAGGAGUUUCUACCUGGAAGGGCUGUAAGACAACUGCUAUGUUGUGAGCGGCUCUAUGGAGAGGCCCAUGUGGAGGGAAGUGAGGAAGGCCUCUGGCCAACAGUCCAGGAGGAAGUGAAGCCCUCAGUCCAACAGCCUGUGUGGAACUGAACCCUGCAAACAACUCUGUGUGUGAGCUUGGAAGUGGAUCCAUAUUCAGUCAAACCUUGAGAUGGGACACCAUGCUCUGCUAACACUUGAUUGUGGUCCCAGCUAGGCCACUGCUGAAGUCUUGACUCAGAGAAACGAUGAUAUAGUAAAUGUUUGUUGUUUCAAGUUGGUAAGUUUUGGGAUAAUUUUUUAUAUAGUGAUAAUUUUUUAUAUACUUUAAAAUAACACAUUGCCCUAUCCUUUGGUUACACUUUUCUCUUGGAACUCUGCUUGCCCAUAUAUUACAGAAAUAUUUUUCAGAUCAUGGGCUGAAAGGUGGAUUAUGGAUGCAAUGUUUAAAUUUAGCAAUGUCAUUUAUGACUGUUCAUAUGAGCUUUGCUGCAUAAAAUGUUGA
ensembl:lncRNA LINC02351 long intergenic non-protein coding RNA 2351